ACAGCCUUGUCUAGGAGCUCAGGGAUGAGCCGGGGACCACCACUUUUUUCCAGUACUGGAUUGCCUUUUACUGUCUUUUUGUUGGGCCACGCAGAUGAAUCGAGCAUCGUUAAUGAGAAUUUUAUAAAAUUGUAGUCCACGCAGCAAUUUGAUCAACUGUCCGCCUGAUUUUGAGGACAGGCUGUCAACUGCCACGUUUUACCUCAACACCUCUCCUGUGCAAAUGUAGGGAAUGUGCUGCUCUGCAGCUAAAACUGGAAAUUAAAUCAACAGAUGAACAAAUAAAGAUGUUCAACUUUC